AUUUCUUUGGGCCGCUCCCGCGGCAUAUGGAGGUUCCCAAGCUAGGGGUCAAAUUGGAGCUGUAGCCACUGGCCUACGCCAGAGCCACAGCAACGCGGGAUCCGAGCCGCGUCUGCAACCUACACCACAGCUCACGGCAACGCCGGAUCGUCAACCCACUGAGCAGGGGCAGGGACCAACCCGCAACCUCAUAGUUCCUAGUUAACCACUGCGCCACGACGGGAACUCCUGAAUGGCCAUUUUAGCACUUCCUCAUCUUUAGUGUCUAUCUUCAGUUUUUCACUGUUGAGUUACCCGAAAAGGAAACAUAUAUUGGCAAAUUAUCAAAUACAUUUAAUUAUUUCUCUCUAUGGCAAUAUUGAUGGCAGUUGUCGCCACUACUUAGAAAUAUAAUCUUACUUGAGGAUUCUGGAAUAUAAACUUUUUGUAAAAAGAUAGAUAAUUAAAUUUCAAAUUUUUAAAAUAUGCAAAUAAAAUUUUCUUAUUCAGAUGUUCAAAUAUACUUGAGUAGGAGUAACAUUUAAAAACCACUAAAGGUAAUAUAGGGAAAAUACUGUGCAUACCUAGCACCUGAUUUUUUAAAAUUUUCACACUAAGCAGUAAUAAUCAAGAAAUGGACUGUCAAUAACAUGCAUUAAUAUUAUAUAGUUGAAAGGUAAAAGACGUUUCCAAACUUAUUAAGUAGGGCGUAAUAGAAUAAUUUGGUACUUAACUGAAUAGGAAACUAUUGCGAACGGUGGGGUUUUCCUCCAUUUCCCUCCCUGGACCCUGGGAAGGAAAGCUGGGGAGGAUCGGCUUCAGAAACUUGAACUCGCUGGUCCCAGUGCCCCCCGCCAGACACACCUCGUAGCGGUAGCCGUGGGCCAGGGUGCCCGUGCGGGUCGGAGGGCGGCAGCAGCGAGUAGGUGAGCUGGGCGUUGGCGCCCGCGUCGGCGUCGGUGGCGCGGACGGUGCCGAUGUGCAGGGCGGGGCUGUUGUUCUCGCGGACCCGCAGGGUGUAGGCGGACUGGCUGAAGGCGGGCGCGUUGUCGUUGACGUCGGCCACGCGCACGGUCAGGUUGUGCUGGGUGUGCCGCCGGGGGGUCCCCAGGUCGCUGACGCUGAUGGUGAUGUUGUACUCGGCUCUUUCCUCUCGGUCCAGCGGUCCUUCUGUUACCAAGGUGUAGAAAUUUUCCAGGGAUGGUCUUAGAAGAAAGGGAAGACUCUCAUCUAUAGAAACAAUAACCUGUUGGUUAUGUCCAGAAUCUGCAUCUGAUACACUGAAAACUGCCACUAUGAUCUCUGGCAGGUUUUCAGGGAUGGGGCUGGUAAGUGAGGAUAUGGUCAAUUCGGGAGCGUUGUCAUUCACGUCCAGGACCUUGAUGAGUAGAGAGCAUUUUCCUGAUAGUCCCCCACCAUCUGUGGCCUCAAUAUCCACCUGAUAUGAUUGAAAUUUUUCAAAAUCCAGAGUCUUUCUCAGUCGAAUUUCUCCUGUAUUUGCAUUUAUUUCAAAAGGUUGGUUAACGUCAUCGACUUGAAAUAGGGCAUAAGAAACCUCCCCAAAGGAUCCUGCGUCUAAAUCUCUUGCUGAGACAGUGAUAACCAGAGAGCCGAGGGAGCUAUUUUCAGGGACUUGAGCCUCGUAGAACUCCUGAGCAAACUCAGGGGCGUUGUCAUUGAUGUCCAGGACCAGGAUCUGAAUCUCUGCGGUCCCAGACCGGGGCGGAGACCCUCCAUCCAGCGCUGUGAGGGUUAGUCUGAGCUCGGGCUGCUCCUCGCGGUCCAACGCUUUGUCCAGCACCAGCUCCGGGGAUUUUCUGCCAUCCUUGCGGUUGCGAGUAAGAACGUGGAAGUGGGGAUUGGAGCUGAUUAUGUAGCUCUGAAGGCUGUUGCUCCCAGCGUCUAAAUCCUGUGCCAUUUUCAAAGGAAAUGCCUUUCCUGGCAUAGUAAUUUCUGAUAUUUUUAGUAGCAUUUCUCCAGCAGGGAACUCUGGGGCGUGGUCAUUUAUAUCUCCAAUUAGCAAGGCAGCCUGGAAAAACUGCAAGGGAUUUUCCAGCAGCACUUGGAAAGGUAGCACACAGGGCUCAGUGGAACCACACAACUCCUCCCGGUCCAGUUUAUCACUUAGCAGCAAAUCAUAGGUCUGUGAGUCAAACUGCAAAGGCUGCCGAUUCCCUUUAAAAACAACUCGGGCGCUCCGGGCGGCCAGCUCUCCCAUCCGGAGUCCCAAGUCCUUUGUCAGGUUGGCCACGAAUGUGCCACUUUCUGUCUCCUCCAACACAGAAUACUGAAACAGUUCCGAACCUGCCGCCCACCAAAGCAUCAAUAUAAUGAAGAUCACCACUUGCCUUUUACGAUGUGCUUUUGUUUGUGUCAUUUCCAUUGCUAUGCCCGGUUCCAGAGGGAAAAUCCUUUUCCAGUCCCAAUCACCACGUCCACCGUUGACCGUCCAAAAUGUCAGCUAUAGAAUUUCAGAUUCGUUCUCAUAACUUGUCUGGCAGUGACUGCCUUCCUGAACACGUCUGUCUUGGCUUUAGCUGUAAAUGUGUUCUGU
rnacentral:lncRNA from 1 species